rnacentral:rRNA from 1 species
CCUACGGGAGGCAGCAGUGGGGAAUAUUGGACAAUGGGCGAAAGCCUGAUCCAGCCAUGCCGCGUGAGUGAUGAAGGCCCUAGGGUUGUAAAGCCCUUUUGUGCGGGAAGAUAAUGACGGUACCGCAAGAAUAAGCCCCGGCUAACUUCGUGCCAGCAGCCGCGGUAAU